rnacentral:rRNA from 1 species
ACGAACGCUGGCGGCGUGCUUAACACAUGCAAGUCGAACGGAAAGGCCCUGCUUUUGUGGGGUGCUCGAGUGGCGAACGGGUGAGUAACACGUGAGUAACCUGCCCUUGACUUUGGGAUAACUUCAGGAAACUGGGGCUAAUACCGGAUAGGAGCUCCUGCUGCAUGGUGGGGGUUGGAAAGUUUCGGCGGUUGGGGAUGGACUCGCGGCUUAUCAGCUUGUUGGUGGGGUAGUGGCUUACCAAGGCUUUGACGGGUAGCCGGCCUGAGAGGGUGACCGGCCACAUUGGGACUGAGAUACGGCCCAGACUCCUACGGGAGGCAGCAGUGGGGAAUAUUACACAAUGGGCGGAAGCCUGAUGCAGCAACGCCGCGUGCGGGAUGACGGCCUUCGGGUUGUAAACCGCUUUCGCCUGUGACAAAGCGUGAGUGACGGUAAUGGGUAAAGAAGCACCGGCUAACUACGUG